rnacentral:rRNA from 1 species
AGUCCCGUACACGAAAGCACACUUGCUGUGAACUCGAAGAGUAGGGCGGGACACGUGGUAUCCUGUCUGAAUAUGGGGGGACCAUCCUCCAAGGCUAAAUACUCCUGACUGACCGAUAGUGAACCAGUACCGUGAGGGAAAGGCGAAAAGAACCCCGGCGAGGGGAGUGAAAAAGAACCUGAAACCGUGUACGUACAAGCAGUGGGAGCCUCUUUAUGGGGUGACUGCGUACCUUUUGUAUAAUGGGUCAGCGACUUAUAUUCUGUAGCAAGGUUAACCGUAUAGGGGAGCCGAAGGGAAACCGAGUCUUAACUGGGCGUUAAGUUGCAGGGUAUAGACCCGAAACCCGGUGAUCUAGCCAUGGGCAGGUUGAAGGUUGGGUAACACUAACUGGAGGACCGAACCGACUAAUGUUGAAAAAUUAGCGGAUGACCUGUGGCUGGGGGUGAAAGGCCAAUCAAACCGGGAGAUAGCUGGUUCUCCCCGAAAGCUAUUUAGGUAGCGCCUCGUGAACUCAUCUUCGGGGGUAGAGCACUGUUUCGGCUAGGGGGCCAUCCCGGCUUACCAACCCGAUGCAAACUACGAAUACCGAAGAAUGUUAUCACGGGAGACACACGGCGGGUGCUAACGUCCGUCGUGAAGAGGGAAACAACCCAGACCGCCAGCUAAGGUCCCAAAGUCAUGGUUAAGUGGGAAACGAUGUGGGAAGGCACAGACAGCCAGGAUGUUGGCUUAGAAGCAGCCAUCAUUUAAAGAAAGCGUAAUAGCUCACUGGUCGAGUCGGCCUGCGCGGAAGAUGUAACGGGGCUAAACCAUGCACCGAAGCUGCGGCAGCGACACUUAUGUGUUGUUGGGUAGGGGAGCGUUCUGUAAGCCGUUGAAGGUGUGCUGUGAGGCAUGCUGGAGGUAUCAGAAGUGCGAAUGCUGACAUAAGUAACGAUAAAGCGGGUGAAAAGCCCGCUCGCCGGAAGACCAAGGGUUCCUGUCCAACGUUAAUCGGGGCAGGGUGAGUCGACCCCUAAGGCGAGGCCGAAAGGCGUAGUCGAUGGGAAACAGGUUAAUAUUCCUGUACUUGGUGUUACUGCGAAGGGGGGACGGAGAAGGCUAUGUCAGCCGGGCGACGGUUGUCCCGGUUUAAGCAUGUAGGCGGAGGUUCCAGGUAAAUCCGGUACCUUAUUAACGCUGAGGUGUGAUGACGAGGCACUACGGUGCUGAAGUGAUAAAUGCCCUGCUUCCAGGAAAAGCCUCUAAGCAUCAGGUAACACGAAAUCGUACCCCAAACCGACACAGGUGGUCAGGUAGAGAAUACCAAGGCGCUUGAGAGAACUCGGGUGAAGGAACUAGGCAAAAUGGUGCCGUAACUUCGGGAGAAGGCACGCUGAUGUGUAGGUGAAGCCCCUGCGGGCGGAGCUGAAAUCAGUCGAAGAUACCAGCUGGCUGCAACUGUUUAUUAAAAACACAGCACUGUGCAAACACGAAAGUGGACGUAUACGGUGUGACGCCUGCCCGGUGCCGGAAGGUUAAUUGAUGGGGUUAGCGGCAACGCGAAGCUCUUGAUCGAAGCCCCGGUAAACGGCGGCCGUAACUAUAACGGUCCUAAGGUAGCGAAAUUCCUUGUCGGGUAAGUUCCGACCUGCACGAAUGGCGUAAUGAUGGCCAGGCUGUCUCCACCCGAGACUCAGUGAAAUUGAACUCGCUGUGAAGAUGCAGUGUACCCGCGGCAAGACGGAAAGACCCCGUGAACCUUUACUAUAGCUUGACACUGAACACUGGUCCUUGAUGUGUAGGAUAGGUGGGAGGCUUUGAAGCGUGGACGCCAGUCUGCGUGGAGCCAACCUUGAAAUACCACCCUUUAAUGGCUGGUGUUCUAACGUAGACCCGUAAUCCGGGUUGCGGACAGUGUCUGGUGGGUAGUUUGACUGGGGCGGUCUCCUCCCAAAGAGUAACGGAGGAGCACGAAGGUUGGCUAAUCCUGGUCGGACAUCAGGAGGUUAGUGCAAUGGCAUAAGCCAGCUUGACUGCGAGCGUGACGGCGCGAGCAGGUGCGAAAGCAGGUCAUAGUGAUCCGGUGGUUCUGAAUGGAAGGGCCAUCGCUCAACGGAUAAAAGGUACUCCGGGGAUAACAGGCUGAUACCGCCCAAGAGUUCAUAUCGACGGCGGUGUUUGGCACCUCGAUGUCGGCUCAUCACAUCCUGGGGCUGAAGUAGGUCCCAAGGGUAUGGCUGUUCGCCAUUUAAAGUGGUACGCGAGCUGGGUUUAGAACGUCGUGAGACAGUUCGGUCCCUAUCUGCCGUGGGCGCUGGAGAAUUGAGGGGGGCUGCUCCUAGUACGAGAGGACCGGAGUGGACGCAUCACUGGUGUUCGGGUUGUCAUGCCAAUGGCACUGCCCGGUAGCUAAAUGCGGAAGAGAUAAGUGCUGAAAGCAUCUAAGCACGAAACUUGCCCCGAGAUGAGUUCUCCCUGAGACCUUGAGUCUCCUGAAGGAACGUUGAAGACGACGACGUUGAUAGGUCGGGUGUGUAAGCGCAGCGAUGCGUUGAGCUAACCGAUACUAAUGAACCGUGAGGCUUAACCUUACAACGCCGAAGGUGUUU